rnacentral:rRNA from 1 species
UACGAAGGGGGCUAGCGUUGCUCGGAAUUACUGGGCGUAAAGCGCACGUAGGCGGAUUGUUAAGUCGGGGGUGAAAUCCUGGAGCUCAACUCCAGAACUGCCUUCGAUACUGGCGAUCUAGAGUCCGGGAGAGGUGAGUGGAACUGCGAGUGUAGAGGUGAAAUUCGUAGAUAUUCGCAAGAACACCAGUGGCGAAGGCGGCUCACUGGCCCGGUACUGACGCUGAGGCACGAAAGCGUGGGGAGCAAACAGG